rnacentral:rRNA from 1 species
AGCCAACCUCUAGCCCAACCACACCACUACAAUAUAAAACACCCAAAAAUUCACUUAAUGACUAAACUAAAACAUUCUUCUACUUAGUAUAGGUGAUAGAAAAGUACCCAUCACUGGCGCGAUAGAGGCCUGUACCGCAAGGGAACGAUGAAAUAACAAUGAAAACCUAAGCAACAGACAGCAAAGAUAAACCCUUGUACCUUUUGCAUCAUGAUUUAGCAAGAACAACCAAGCAAAACGAAUUUAAGCUUGCCUCCCCGAAACCCAAGCGAGCUACUCACAAGCAGCUAUUCCUUGAGCGAACCCGUCUCUGUUGCAAAAGAGUGGGAUGACUUGUUAGUAGAGGUGAAAAGCCAAUCGAGCUGGGUGAUAGCUGGUUGCCUGCCAAAUGAAUCUAAGUUCCACCUUGACCCUCCCCAAAUGACCAUAACCUAGCCCUCAUGUGAUGAGUCAAGGGCAGUUUAAAGGGGGUACAGCCCCUUUAAAAAAGAGCACAAUCUCUCCUAGCGGAUAACCCUUACCCCCUCCCAAGUUGUAGGCCCUUAAGCAGCCACCCAUAAAGAGUGCGUCAAAGCUCAACACUAAAAAAUCCGAAAACAACCUGACUCCCUUACCACUAACAGGCCAACCUAUAACAAUAGGAGAACUACUGCUAAAAUAAGUAACCCGGGGCAACCCUCUAGAGCGCGACGUUACACCACCAUGUUAUUAACAGACCAUGUUUAAUGUUACAACCCAACAGGACAAACCAUUAACACUCCACCGUUAGCCCGACACAGGAGCGCCCACAAGAAAGAUUAAAAUCUGCAAAAGGAACUAGGCAAACCCAAGGCCCGACUGUUUACCAAAAACAUAGCCUUCAGCCAACCAAGUAUUGAAGGUGAUGCCUGCCCAGUGACAUCAUGUUUAACGGCCGCGGUAUCCUAACCGUGCGAAGGUAGCGCAAUCAAUUGUCCCAUAAAUCGAGACUUGUAUGAAUGGCUAAACGAGGUCUUGUAUGAAUGGCUAAACGAGGUCUUAGCUGUCUCUUGCAGAUAAUCGGUGAAAUUGAUCUCCCUGUGCAAAAGCAGGAAUAAACCCAUAAGACGAGAAGACCCUGUGGAACUUAAAAAUCAGCGGCCACCCCACCUAGAACCUAAGCCUACUAGGCAUACUAUUACUCCAAAAACAUUGGCCCGCAUUUUUCGGUUGGGGCGACCUUGGAGAAAAACGAACCCUCCAAAAAUAAGACCACACCUCUUAACCAAGAGCAACCCCUCAACGUACUAACAGUAACCCGACCCAAUAUAAUUGACCAAUGGACCAAGCUACCCCAGGGGUAACAGCGCAAUCUCCUUCAAGAGCCCAUAUCGACAAGGAGGUUUACGACCUCGAUGUUGGAUCAGGACAUCCUAAUGGUGCAGCCGCUAUUAAGGGUUCGUUUGUUCAACGAUUAACAGUCCUACGUGAUCUGAGUUCAGACCGGAGCAAUCCAGGUCGGUUUCUAUCUAUGACGAACUUUCCCCAGUACGAAAGGACCGGAAAAGUAAGGCCAAUACUAUAGGCACGCCUUUAUCCCCAAGUAAUGCAGCCCAACUAAAUUACUUAAAGGACACCCAUAUCCCUAGCCCUAGAAAAGGGCC